rnacentral:rRNA from 2 species
CGGAAGGAUCAUUAUCGAGAGGGGGGCUUCGCGCUCCAGGGGUUCACGCCCCGCACCUUUCCACCCUAU